UUUUUUUUUUUUUUUCUCUGUAAAGCAAAUCCAGGUGUGAUAGAGGUAGACAGAAGGCCAGAAGGCGGAAAGGGAAGAGGUAGGGACGCGGGAGACAAACAGAAGCAGAUGGGUAAAGUGAAGGGGAGGAACAAAGACUGAUUUAUGAAAGAUGCAAGAAAACGGUGGACGUGGAAAACUGAAUAAACUGAUUACUGUCUCCACACUCUGCUUCUUCUCUGGUCUCCAGCCUUGGAAUCUGAAAAGCUGGGUUUGAAUCUUGCUCUUGAUCGUGUAGCUUUGGGAAAGUCACUUUACUUCCUGGAGCCUCGACUGUGCUUAUUUGUAAGGACGGAACUCAACACCAGAUUUACACGGUGCUGCUGCGUGUGACAAAAUACUUAAGAAAAGCAGUCCGUGGGGAAAGAGAUUGAUUUUGGCUCAGGGGUUCAGAAGUUUUGAUCCUUAGCUCCAUUGCUUUGGCCGUGAGGAAAGGCAGAACGCAAUGGUGGCUGGGUAAAGGGUAUUUGCUUGUUGGCUCAUAGAAAGCAGAGCGGGAGGAAGGGGCAGAGGACAAGAUGCAUUGUCCAAGGUAUGCCACAGGGACAUAUUUUCUCCAACUAGGCCCCACACCCUCUCUUUCACCAUGUUCCAAUAAUGUCAUCACAUUAUGAAUCCAUUGAUUAGAUCGAAGCCCUCAGAAUCCAAUCACUUCACAAAAGUCCAUCAGCUGGUAAGCAAGCUCCACUACAGGAGCCUGUAAAGGGCAUUUCUUAUUUAAACAGAGCAGAUAUGCUCAUAUGAAACAUUUUCUUGUACGUAUAUUAGUGCUGUGCUUGAGUCUUCAUUUAGGCUUCCCUGGUCAGGAGUUUGAAAUUCUCCAUUUGUUCUCUGUAGCUUUAGGGACCUCACAGUUUUCCUAGUUAGAUGCCUUAGCUUACUGACCACCACUAACCCCCAAGGCCUCGUGAAUGGAUAAAGAUGAUUCUAAGGACAGAAUCUACAAAUAAUCAACCAUAGUUAAUGCUCAGACUCAUCCCUCCUCUACAAUUCCAGCCAUUAGAACAAGUAAUCACAGCAUCUCCCAAGUGUAAAACUUCUCCAUUGAUACCAUUGAAAAUAGACUCUCUGAUCCUGGUCGUAUGUUAGAAUGAUCUAAUUCUCAAUGAAAAAAUAUACAUAUAUAAAGGUUCCUUGUAAUUGCAGGCAUUUUUGUGGGGUUGUGUGUGUGUGUGUUGUUUGUUUGUUUGGUUGGUUUUUGAGACAGGGUUUCUCUGUGUAGUCCUGUCUAUCCUGGAACUCACUCUGUAGACCAGGCUGGCCUCAAACUCAUGGAGAUCCGCCUGCCUCUGCCUUCCUAGUGCUGGGACUAAAGGCAUGCACCACCACUGCCCAGCGGGUUCCUUGUAAUUGUAAAGUGCUUUAAAGCAUUAAAUAUUAGCAAUAAUAAUUAUUAAAUAAAGUACUAUAGAUGUAUAUAUAGAGAGAUAUAGAUAGACAACUUCCCAUAGGCAAGAGAAUAAUUUUCUGCAUGUGUGUGGGUGUUUCGCCUGCAUGUUUGUGUACCAUGUGUAUACCUGGUGCCCGAAGAACAGAAGAGAGCGUCAGAUCCCCUGCAACUGGAGUUAUCGACAGUUGUCAGCCACCAUGUGGUUGCUGGGAAUUGAACUAAGCCCUCUGAAAGAGCAGCCACUGAGCCAUCCCUCCAGUCCCAUAAGUCCAGGAACUGCCAGCUGCUGAGAAGGGAGAGAAGGAAGAAGAGACUCACCGUUCCCUGCCCAGCCCCAGCCCCACACCCAGAGCAAUCAACAGGUAGGCAAGCUUCAGACACUAUUCAGGAGUCCUGUGAACAGCAGACAGGUUGGAGCCUGGAAUGGAGGAAGAAAAAUGAAAGAUCAAAGGUGAAGUAGGGGAUAGGGUAGAGGAGGGGAAAAAAAAAAAAACAGGGCCCCAUGAGAAAUGGAGGCAGGAAAUAGUCAAGCUGAAGACUUGGGGACAGUGUGUGUGGGAGACAGUACAGAUGGAAUAAGAGCUAAUAGUUCCCUGAUUCUUCCCAAGUAAUCCUUUCUCAACCUUGUUAGGAAAGGAUAGGUGUAGCAGGAAGUUGGUUCCCUGGUCCUCUUCCUGGUUCUUAGGAAAAGGUGACCUUGGGAGGCAGGCAUCGGGUGUGCUCUUCCUCUAGUGUGUUCUCUCAACCUUCCUCUGGUAUCUGUUUAUUCUGUGGUUUUCCUGAGGCUGCCUCUCCUGGGUAAAAUGGAGAGAUUGUGUGCAGAUCGAAUUCAGAGAAGAGGCUGGGCAAUGUCACCCCCCCCCCCC